rnacentral:rRNA from 1 species
UACGUAGGUGGCAAGCGUUGUCCGGAAUUAUUGGGCGUAAAGCGCGCGCAGGCGGUCUCUUAAGUCUGAUGUGAAAUCUUGCGGCUCAACCGGCAAUCGGUCAUUGGAAACUGGGGGACUUGAGUACAGAAGAGGAGAGUGGAAUUCCACGUGUAGCGGUGAAAUGCGUAGAGAUGUGGAGGAACACCAGUGGCGAAGGCGGGUCUCUGGGCCGAUAACUGACGCUGGAGGAGCGAAAGCGUGGGGAGCGAACAGG